rnacentral:rRNA from 1 species
GAUGAACGCUGGCAGCGUGCUUAAUACAUGCAAGUCGAACGGAGACAUUAGCAAUAAUGUUUUAGUGGCGAACGGGUGAGUAACGCGUUGGUGACCUGCCCCGAAGAGAGGGAUAACAGUUCGAAAGGAUUGCUAAUACCCCAUGUGGUUGUUUGGAUUAGAUGCCUUACAACUAAACGGAUUUAUUCGCUUCGGGAGGGGCCUGCGUCCCAUCAGCUAGUUGGUAGGGUAAUGGCCUACCAAGGCUAUGACGGGUAGGGGACCUGAGAGGGUGGCCCCCCACAAUAGAACUGAAACACGGUCCAUACACCUACGGGUGGCAGCAGUAGGGAAUAUUGGUUAAUCUGCGAAAGCGGGAACCAGCAACGCCGCGUGCACGAUGAAGGCCUUCGGGUUGUAAAGUGCUUUUUGAGAGGAUGAGGAAGGACAGUACUCUUAGAAUAAGCUUCGGCUAACUACGUGCCAGCCGCCGCCGUAAGAC